rnacentral:ncRNA from 1 species
UGGCAGCGACAGGGGAGCGCCAUCAGGGCGCUGAGAGUGCGGGCCACCGCAGACCCUCGAACCUGAUCCGGUUAGCACCGGCGUAGGGAGUCGGGAUCUCCUCACC